CAAGGAAGCCAAAAUGCUGCUCCACUGUUGACUUAGAGGACGCACUGACCAGCUUUAUUUCACAAUGACUCGCCAUGUCUCUCGCUCCGUCUGAAGAACCACGUCUGACAUUGAACAAGUGAAAUCAACAGUAGUUUAUGAAUAAAGAUGACUGACGGAUUUCCAUGGCCAAGGGUUCGAUGGCAAACUGAAUUAAGAAAGGGGACUAGGACUGCCCUGUCCUUACCCUGCUGUGUGAAGAUGAGAGGUUAUCCUGGUCAUCAGAUGGAGAUCCAGAUCCAGAUCCCUCAUGGUCCAUUCACUUCCAUGUUCACUCCAAACUGGUGGAUUUUGGUUUCCAGCACUGCAAUUUUAUGUAGAAGUUUGUGGAAAUCUCCCAUGGAGAAGGGAGGCAUCUUGCUGCUAAUUAGCUUUAGCUAAAUAUCCAGUCACUGCAGUACAGGCUUGUACUGUUGGUAGGCCGCACUUGGGUAGUACUGAGGAUGUCAUAAGUGUUGAAAAUAUGGCAAUAGCUUAUUUUAUCUGAAUAAAUUACAGUCCCAAAUUACAGGUUUAUGUCACCAAAGGCCAAACCAAACACCAAAUUCACCAAAGCCAAUAGCAGAUGGACAGUUCACUAAAUGUUCUUCACAACUAGGCCUGCAAUGACAAAACAGGUCAUAGGUCAUUGCCUUCCAGAACUGACCAUAUACCACCCAUAUAACGGUUACAAAAACCACCUACAAACCCACUUAUUACCACCCAUAUGGCGAUUGAAAACCACCCAUAUAACCACUCAAUACCACCCAUAUUACGGUUACAAAAACCACCCAUAUAACGGCUCAUUACCACCCAUAUGACUGUUCCAAAAAACACCCAUAUAACCACUCAUUACCAUCCAUACAAUGGUUAGAGAAACCACCUACAAAAUUGUAAUAAAAAACACCCAUUACCACCAAUUUCACCAUUACAAAAACCAUCCAUAUAACCACUCAUUACCAUCCAUAUGACUACUACAGAAACCAGGGUGGUGACAGAGACAGACUUCUAUUACAGAGGGAAGCAAAUUGGAUUCAUAUAUUACAAACUGAGAGCCCAAAGGGUUUGAACGAAGAACUGCUGUUGGGUUGUUUCUUAUAAUGUAUUGGAGUUUCCUCUAUAUUAGGAUUCCAUAUUUAGAUUGUGUAGAUGUAUUCAUUCUUGUCAUUUAUUCUUGACAUUGUUUCUACAAUAUUUUACUGGGCUCUCUUGUAAGGAUUCAAGCUAGUGGACAGGGUCAUAUAGCUUUUAAUUAGUUUCCUUCUACAUGAUAUUUAUCCCUACAUUUGUGUAUUGAUAUUUUAUCUUAACAUUUUUCAGUGAUAUUUUUCUAUAUACUUUGUAAGGGUUCAUACUAUUUAACGGGGUCAUAUUUAAAAAAAAAAAAAAAUGUUACAUGCUAUUUGCCCUCAGUUGGAUUCUUUAUGUAUUUUGUGGACGUAUUUAGUCUUGACAUGUUUUUUUUACCACAUUUUUCUAUGCGCUCUUGAAAAAUUCAAACUAUUUGGGCUAACAGGGUCAUAUAGCUCUUAAUUUAGUUCCUUAUACAUGUUGUGUGUCCCCAUUAUAGACAAAUCCUGUUUCAGAGAUUUUUCUAUCCUCUGGGUAGUUUGAGCACUUUAUAUACAUAGAGCAUUCAUUAGUGCAUUUUGGACAGUUUUAAGCAUAGACUAAUUUUAUUACUAUUUUUCCUUAAUAAAAGGUCAUAUUCUAUAUGAAUGUAUAUUAUGAAGGUUUUUUCUGUAUUAUGUUUUGCAGUUAUUGCUUUUUUAUGUUAUGUGCAUCUUCAUUUAGUAAUCUUGAUUGCAUAACUCUUUUUAAUAUAGUUUCUUUUUAUAUGGUUCCUGACUUGGGCAUUCAGUUUUAUAUAUUCAUUACCUUUCAGCUUGUGUCACUCAUUGUUGUUUCUGAUGUUUGUGGUCACACCAUCUUUAGGAGAGGCCGCUCCUGGGCGGUUCAUUCACGGAUGGAUCCUAUCAUGCAAUUAUAUAUUCUCUUUUCUGAUUGAUGUUUGAACCUCACCUGUUUAUAUCACUGCAGUUUUGAUUAUGCUGACAAUUGCUUCUAGCUGAAACACGUUAGUUUUUGUCCACAGUAAACAUGAAUAUUAUUUAUCUGUGAGUGCCGGUAGUCUGUUUGUUUUGAUCCUUGCUACGACUGUGCACCCGAUACAGUGUUUAAGAUUUGGAGCGCUGCUACUUUACACUAUUUCAGAAACCAGCCAUAUAACAACUCAUUACCACCUAUACAUUGGUUACACAAACCAGUCAUGUCGGCCAUAUAACAGCUUCAAAAACUACCCAUUACCACCAUAUGACCAUUACAAAAAAACAUCCAUUUGACCAUUACAAAAAACCCAUUCUGACCAUUUAAAAAAACCCACACAUUACCACCCAUAUGGCUGUUACACAAACCACCCACUACCCCUAAAUGCUAUUUGAUAAGUUUACCCCUAUUACCCUUAGGGAGUUGGUCAGCAUUGUAUCCAAUACCAAUCUCUCUACUUGUAAAUCUGACAUUCUUCCUUCCAAGCUGUUUAAAGAGGUUUUUGGAGUCAUUGGCCCAUGGGUUCUUAACAUUCUCAAUGAGUCUCUUAGAUUUGGCAUGGUCCCAGACUAUUUUAAACAGCCCUGUAUCCAGCCUCUCCUUAAGAAACCUGGAUUAGAUCCAACACUCCUCCGUAACUACCGUCCCAUAUCAGGUGCUGUGGUAAGUUUAUUGUUGUCAUACUUAGCCACUAUGCCCCCCUGAUCCUUUUGUGCUCUUGUGUAUCUGCCUUCCCUUGUGUUUCCUGGCGGUCCCCUGUCCGUUUGUUUGUGUAAGUGUGUGUGUGUAUGUGUCUGUGUUCUGGGCUGGCAUCCAGAUCUCCUGGCUGCGAUUGAUUACCGGCACACCUGAUCAUCAUCAUCAUCAUCAACCACCACUGUUUAUCUACCGGGCUCAUCCACACUACCAGCGCCAGAUUGUCCUCGUA